UACGUAGGGUGCGAGCGUUGUCCGGAAUUACUGGGCGUAAAGGGCUCGUAGGCGGCCAACUAAGUCAGACGUGAAAUCCCUCGGCUUAACCGGGGAACUGCGUCUGAUACUGGAUGGCUUGAGGUUGGGAGAGGGAUGCGGAAUUCCAGGUGUAGCGGUGAAAUGCGUAGAUAUCUGGAGGAACACCGGUGGCGAAGGCGGCAUCCUGGACCAAUUCUGACGCUGAGGAGCGAAAGCCAGGGGAGCAAACGGG
rnacentral:rRNA from 1 species